GACGAAGAACGUAGCGAAAUGCGAUACGUAAUGUGAAUUGCAGAAUUCAGUGAAUCAUCGAAUCUUUGAACGCAUAUUGCGCUCUUUGGUAUUCCGAAGAGCAUGCUUGUUUGAGUAUCAGUAAACACCUCAAAGACUUCAAUUUGUUUUGAAUGGCUUUGGACUUGAGCAAUCCCAACACCAGUCUUUACGAUCGGUGGAGGGUUGCUUGAAAUGCAGGUGCAGCUGGACAUUCUCCUGAGCUAAAAGCAUAUUUAUUUAGUCCCGUCAAACGGAUUAUUACUUUUGCUGCAGCUAACAUAAAGGGAGUUUGACCGUAUUGGCUGACUGAUGCAGGAUUUCACAAGGGUCGGCAACGAUUCUUGUAAAACUCGAUCUCAAAUCAAGUAAGACUACCCGCUGAACUUAAGCAUAUCAAUAAGCGGAGGA
rnacentral:misc_RNA from 1 species